GUGUGUGUGUGUGUGUGUGUACAACACCCACAGGCAGGAGGUGGCAUCCCAGGAGCAUGCCCAGCGUACCUACAGGUUAACAUGAGGACCCCUGCCAAAACAAGGGGAGACAAACAUUUCACUCUUAAUUUCAAGCCACCGUGGCUAAGAUGUGUACUUGGGCUUCCGUCAAGUUCAAGAAAGCUCAGUCGGGAGUGAUUUUGUUUCAAAACCUCUCCGGAGUGUUGUGAAGACUUCAGUGACUUGACUUCAGCGACGCCUCAAUUUCGGAGGCGGUUUGGAAACCAGUGGUUCCUCCGAGCUCUAAAAUACUAAGCCAUUUGUCCUAAUAGCACAGCAGCCUCCGGACUCCCGAAUACCACAGGAAUAUCACACCACUGCAAAUUACUAGGGGUGCUGAGUCUUCAAAAAGGGGAAGCAAAACAAAAGCUCUGCACUGUUUCUGGGAUGCACGCUUGAUACAGACAAGCCAGUUGUUUGAGGGAAGAGUUUUCCUGGACGCAGAAUCCCUCUGCCCAGAUACACGGCCCUAGCUUAAACUGUUUUAAAGCCCUCUGACCUUUUUACAACAAACUUCUCGCAUGACACACCAAAGGCGAAAACUGAAAACCAAAGAGGAGGGUUCUGAGGCCAACAAAGGACAGAGGAUGACCAGGGUCAAUGGACUUCAGAAAGCUGGCACCCCGGGCUCCACUGUCGUACUUCUUGUGCACGGUGCCUAAGUGUAUGUUACAUUGCCAAUGGCUGCCUCUGAAGAUCCAGAGGAGGUGGACCAGGCUUUCUUAGAGGGCAUGCAAACUGCCGAAGCCACGCUGCCAAUCCCUGACAAAGCACAAGUGAAGAACUCUACUUCAUGAGAGAAGAGCAAUGAACAACGAGAAUCGGUUCUCCAUCCUGACCAGUCCAUUGCCCAGGGCUCCGCCAGCUCCAGGGCUCUGAAAACCAGUGUUGUUUCUAACAGGACUUCCAAGAGUGAGCAGGGACAGUGUUGAGAAUGAGCCAGGAGAGAUUUCAAAGGGUUUCCCUCAUCUCAAAUAUGGUCUGGAAUAGUCUGUCUGUCUGUCUGUGUGCCUGCCUGCCUGCCUACCUAUUUCUUUUGGAUUCCACACUUGGAAAGCUACAUUACUCAAGGUGAGAGCUAUGUACAUUACUUUGUUCUUCCAACUGAAGAAGUUAAGUAAGUAGGAAUUUGGGGAAAGACAGGGUGGAAGAGAAAGGAAAUAUUAGACAAAGACUAGGUUACAAAUGGCCUCCUCUCCUCCUCCCUAGACUUAAAAAGUCUAGAUGUAGGAAGGUAGUAGAGUCAAUGGCCAAACCAAGUUCCUAAGAACUUGGCACAGGUUAGGGUAAAAUUCUCUCAACUUCUCUGAACAUCAAGGGCCACACCAGAACUUUCAGGAAUAGUCUUUGACAGUAUGAAAGGUCAGGCAGAGUAGAACCUGAUAAGAUGGAAGAUGAGUUGUCUACAUGUAAUAUUUGAAACAAGUUCCAAAAGUAAAAUUUCCUCACCAGUAUU